rnacentral:rRNA from 1 species
CAUUGUCGUAGAAGGCUGGAGUGAGGGCGUAUGCGUAAGGUAUACGUCCAAGAGGGAAAGAACCCAGACUAGAGUUAAGGCCCCAAAAUGCUGAUUAAGUGUAAUAGAAGCACGUCUUAAAUCCAAAACAGCGGGUAGGUUGGCUUAGAAGCAGCCACCCUUUAAUGAGUUCGUAACAGAUCACCCGCCGAGAUUUAGGGCUGCGAAAAUGGACGGGGCUAAAUCAGCUGCCGAGACUCUAGCGUUGUACAAAACAACGGGUAGGGAGGCAUCCCGCGUGGGCGGAAGCAACUUCGUGAGCAGUUGUGGACCGCGUGGGAAAGAUAAUCCUGUCAGUAGUAGUAGCAUAGUGUGGUGUGAAUCCACACCGUCUCAAGGGCAAGGGUUCCUCGAAGAUGUUUAUCAGGCGAGGGUUAGUCGAUCCUAAGGGUUGUCCUAACAGGAACAACUCGAAAGGGAAGCAGGUUAAUAUUCCUGCACCAUGGAAAUACACGUCGUAAGACAAGACAUUCUUCUGACACUUCGAGAUAGGUUGAGCAGUUUUUGCUGUCUAACCGCUGAAAACCUGGGAAUAUCGUCAUGAUUUGAAC